CCUGCGAGGAGGGAGUGACUUCCAGGUAGAAUAUGGUGCUGCCUGAAGAAAAUGAUGUGAAAGAGACAUGAUGAUAGGAGAGCUGCAGAGAAACUCUUCAUACAUGGAGGACCACCUAUGAAUCAACCAAACUUGGAGCUUUGACCCUGCAGAAACACCUAGCCUUGGAGGAAGCAAAUGGAAUGUUCCAGCUUGGGCUAAACUAAGGGAAGAUGACCUAUUGUGCAUACAGAGAACAUAAAAUGAAAAUUAAGAGAUGAAAUGACAGGAGAGCUGCUUGAAUUUUAACUAAGUGAGUUGACUUCUAUGUGCUACUGAUUCAAAUAAAAUGGCUUUGGGUCAUUCAACCAAUGGGAGGGACUACUGAUUAGAAUAGGAAAAAGAUUUUUUUUCUUGGCUUUUUAGGACCAUACCUGCAGCAUAUAGCAGUUCCCAGGCUAAGGGUCAAAUUGGGACUGUAGCUACUGGCCUACACCAUAGCUCAUGGCACUGCCAGAUCCUUAACCCACUGAGUGAAACCAGGGAUCAAACUUGAGUCCUCAUGGAUGCUAGUCAGAUUUUUUACCACUGAGCCAUGACGGGAACUCCUGGAAAAAGAGAUUUGUACCUUCUAAGGAGAAUUUCUGUGUGAGGAAGUGAUGAACGGAUGCUGAAGAUUCAGAGGUCAAGAGUGCCAGUGGACAGGGACAGCAGGAAGCAUGCCACAGAGAUACGAUAACAUGUGGAGACUGAUUCAAUAAAUCAUGAAAGCCGAGCAGAGGAAAAGGCUCAGGUGACUGUCAAACAGUAACAUCACAACAUAAAUACAUCCAAAAGUCUAGGUACCACCAACACACUUUUAAUGCUUCAUGAACCUAUUUAAAGGAACUCACUUGUGCUUGAGAAUUAGCUUUCUAGUCAGCUGGGAAUAUCUAAUUCCUGUACCAUGCUGGCUGUGUCUCAGAACCUGUAACAAGGCUGGCUGAUUGUAAAUGUGCAGCUCAGUGAUCCACCAGGAAUCCAGGUACUAGUUGGCUACGCUUCUGGUUGGUGCCAUUCAUUAAAUUUACCAAUAUUUUGGUUUAGACUGGGGUAGCAUCUAGUAAAAGGCACAAUACAGGAAGCCAUUUCUACAUAUUUAAAAUCGAAAGUAUAAUCUCAUUUUUUUUUCUUAAUAUAUUAUUUUCAGAUGUGGUCCAGUCCCUCAUCUGUGUAAUAAUUUGUUGUUUCUUGAUUUCUUAUUUUGUAGUGUUCCUUGCUUCAUUUCCUCUUUUAUGGACUCGCUGCAUUUGCUUCUAGGAUUGUGUACGGAAUACAUACAUACCUGUAUACCUACAUACCCACCCAUAUAAGGCUGCUCCUCAGUGCUGCCCACGUGUUGAUACCUGCCCUUUCCCACUGCCCACAUCCUUUUUGCUCUUCAAGUCUACUUGUUAAACCCUGCUGCUCCCUCCCAACUAUCUGCCCCUCUACAUGCUUGCUUUCUGCUAUCAAGUAGAUGCGCAUAAAAACUAGUACACAUUUGUGUCUAGACGCAAACUCAACAUGUUGGGGCUUUUUUAGGAACCUGUUUCUCCCCCAUUUACUCUAAGAGGCUUUUAACUGCAUCACCUCCAAAUACAAAGCUCAGCUAUGAAAGCGGUGUUGUGUAAUGUGGACUUAACAAAAGGUUUAAUGGAGAUGAGGACAUUAUUUCAUCACCCACCCAGAGCAAGUUCAGUAAAAGUUCAGUUAUGUUCCAAAGCAACUCUCCCCAUCUCAAUAGACUAAGCCCUUCUCCCCUCACCCAGAGAUUUCUCUUUUAAGCCUUUUCCCUCUCCUGUCUUUCCCUUUUCCUUUCUUUAAGGGAGGCAGUUGAGAUAACAGUUGGCUUCUCCAUCCCAUCAAGAAAGGAAUCCUUUCUAGAAAGUGUUUUCUUUAUAUGGUAGACACGAGUGUGCUGGGGUCACUCUGUGAUCUUACCUACACACAUGUGUGUCCGAGGUGGGGAGUCACCAAGACAAACCCUUACUUUUAGCUCAGCCCGUUCACAUGGUCCUAAUGCAUUCAUGUGUUUGGAAAUGUAAAAACAACUGAAAUUUUUUGAAAUUUUCUUCUGAGAGUCAUGAGAGAAGAACAGUGAAGGAGGGAAUCAGAAGUACUUCAUUUGUACAUCCUUUAAUCUCAAUGUGUUUGCAUUCAUAUUCAGCUGCUAAAUUUUGUCUUUUUCACCUUUGGCAAAAAAAAAAAAAAAAAAAA